AGUUCUAGACUUCCUUGCUUCUCACUUGUCUUGGCCUCCUCCACCCUGGUUCCCAAUCACCUCAGUGUUGUAUCUUUGAGAAACUAUUAUCUCCACUAAAAGAAAAAAAUCUUUCCAGCCAUGUUAGAGAUCUUUUGGAGUGCAUACUGGGCUUUCCAAGGGCUGCAGGACCUCUGACCUCUGAUUCCUUCCUAGGUUUCUUAGUAACAAAAACUAUAAGAAAAAGAAGAAUGGUCCCUUUUGACUAUUCAUCAUUUGAUAGUUGGCCCUACCUAGUGUUCAAGUCUGACCUAGGUGUGAAGAGGGAUAGCAAGAUAUGUAGAAUAAGCAGUACACCCUCAUCAGGGAGAUAGAAUGCAUCUUUAUUAAAACAAGUAGCUGCUGAAGAGUAUGGUACUUGGAAUCCAGAGAUGAAAAGUUACAGUCUUUGACAAGGAGAUGAGAUCUGAGCUGGAUCUGGAAGAAUGAGUAGGAUUUAGGAAAACAGAGUAGGGGUGCUGAAUAUCCUCAACAGGUCAGGCCAGUGUGAUGAAAUCCUAGAGCUGGAAAAGCAGAGUAUAAAUGGUUCACAGUACACAUUCUGGAAGAAGAUGGCAGGAUUGGUGAAAUGAGCAAAUGGGAACCAUUUCAGGCAAACUUCUGAGUGGAGAGGUAGCAGGAUAAGGAGUAAAUGUGAGAGAGUGGGGCCAGGACUACAAUCUCAGAUCUGACUGAGGUGGUUCAGAUGUGUUAUCUGAGUAUCCGGUUGUAAUGGAAACUGGGGAAUUGAAAUGCAUGUGUAUUUGUGAGAGGUACUUUGAA